UCUACGGGAGGCAGCAGUGAGGAAUAUUGGUCAAUGGCCGAGAGGCUGAACCAGCCAAGUCGCGUGAGGGAAGACGGCCCUACGGGUUGUAAACCUCUUUUGUCGGGGAGCAAAGAGAGUCACGUGUGACUCAUUGAGAGUACCCGAAGAAAAAGCAUCGGCUAACUCCGUGCCAGCAGCCGCGGUAAUACGUAGGAGGCAAGCGUUAUCCGGAAUGACUGGGCGUAAAGGGUGCGUAGGUGGUUUGACAAGUUGGUAGCGUAACUCCGAGGCUUAACCUCGGCACUACUACCAAAACUGUUGGACUCGAGUGCAGGAGGGGCAAAUGGAAUUCCUAGUGUAGCGGUGGAAUGCGUAGAUAUUAGGAGGAACACCAGUGGCGAAGGCGAUUUGCUGGACUGUAACUGACACUGAGGCACGAAAGCGUGGGGAGCAAACAGGAUUAGAUACCCCAGUAGUC
rnacentral:rRNA from 1 species